UAGGGAAUAUUGCAAAAUGGGCGAAAGCCCGAUGCAGCAACGCCGCGUGGGCGAUGAAGGCCUUCGGGUCGUAAAGCCCUUUUUGAGGGGAUGAGGAAGGACAGUACCCUCAGAAUAAGCCUCGGCUAACUACGUGCCAGCAGCCGCGGUAAAACGUAGGAGGCGAGCGUUAUCCGGAUUUACUGGGCGUAAAGCGCGUGCAGGCGGAUUGGAGAGUUGGAUGUGAAAGCUCCCGGCUUAACUGGGAGAGGUCGUUCAAUACUUCCAGUCUUGAGUGCAGUAGAGGGUAGUGGAAUUCCAGGUGUAGCGGUGAAAUGCGUAGAUAUCCGGAGGAACACCAGUGGCGAAAGCGGCUUCCUGGACUGUAACUGACGCUCAGACGCGAAAGCUAGGGUAGCAAACG
rnacentral:rRNA from 1 species